rnacentral:rRNA from 1 species
CCUACGGGGGGCAGCAGUGAGGAAUAUUGGUCAAUGGCCGCAGGGCUGAACCAGCCAAGUCGCGUGAGGGAUGACGGUCCUAUGGAUUGUAAACCUCUUUUGUCAGGGAGCAAAUGGCGCCACGUGUGGCGCUUUGCGAGUACCUGAAGAAAAAGCAUCGGCUAACUCCGUGCCAGCAGCCGCGGUAAUACGGGGGAUGCGAGCGUUAUCCGGAUUUAUUGGGGUUAAAGGGUGCGCAGGCGGAAUGUCAAGUCAGCGGUAAAAUUUCGGGGCUCAACCCCGUCGUGCCGUUGAAACUGGCGUUCUUGAGUGAGCGAGAAGUAGGCGGAAUGCGUGGUGUAGCGGUGAAAUGCAUAGAUAUCACGCAGAACUCCGAUUGCGAAGGCAGCAUACCGGCGCUCAACUGACGCUCAUGCACGAAAGCGUGGGUAUCGAACAGGAUUAGAUACCCCUGUAGUC